rnacentral:rRNA from 1 species
GUCUAUGUACGGUGCGGCGGCCGGUGUGAUACGUUGGGUUCGGGCGUUGUCCGGAGUUAUUGGUCGGUAAGUGUGGGUAGGCGUGUGGUCGCGGUGGGAGGUAACACACCGGGGUUAACUCGGUGCUGGCUUUCGAUACGGGCAGACGUGAGGGAUGCAGUGGAGAACGGAAUUCCUGGUGUAGCGGUGAAAUGCGCAGAUAUCAGGAGGAGCACCGGUGGCGAAGGCGGUUCUCUGGGCAUGUUCUGACGCUGAGGAGCGAAAGUGUGGGGAGCGAACAGGAUUAGAUACCCUGGUAGC